rnacentral:rRNA from 1 species
GCGAACGCUGGCGGCAGGCCUAACACAUGCAAGUCGAACGAACUCUUCGGAGUUAGUGGCGGACGGGUGAGUAACACGUGGGAACGUGCCUUUAGGUUCGGAAUAACUCAGGGAAACUUGUGCUAAUACCGAAUGUGCCCUUCGGGGGAAAGAUUUAUCGCCUUUAGAGCGGCCCGCGUCUGAUUAGCUAGUUGGUGAGGUAAAGGCUCACCAAGGCGACGAUCAGUAGCUGGUCUGAGAGGAUGAUCAGCCACAUUGGGACUGAGACGCGGCCCAAACUCCUACGGGAGGCAGCAGUGGGGAAUCUUGCGCAAUGGGCGAAAGCCUGACGCAGCCAUGCCGCGUGAAUGAUGAAGGUCUUAGGAUUGUAAAAUUCUUUCACCGGGGACGAUAAUGACGGUACCCGGAGAAGAAGCCCCGGCUAACUUCGU